GCGGCAAAAGCUCAAAUUUGAAAUCUGGCUCUUUCAGAGUCCGAGUUGUAAUUUGAAGAAGGUAUCUUUGGGUCUGGCUCUUGUCUAUGUUUCUUGGAACAGAACGUCACAGAGGGUGAGAAUCCCGUGCGAUGAGAUGAUCCAGGCCUAUGUAAAGUUCCUUCGAAGAGUCGAGUUGUUUGGGAAUGCAGCUCUAAGUGGGUGGUAAAUUCCAUCUAAAGCUAAAUAUUGGCGAGAGACCGAUAGCGAACAAGUACAGUGAUGGAAAGAUGAAAAGAACUUUGAAAAGAGAGUGAAAAAGUACGUGAAAUUGUUGAAAGGGAAGGGCUUGAGAUCAGACUUGGUAUUUUGUAUGUUACUUCUUCGGGGGUGGCCUCUACAGUUUAUCGGGCCAGCAUCAGUUUGGGCGGUAGGAGAAUUGCGUUGGAAUGUGGCACGGCUUUGGUUGUGUGUUAUAGCCUUCGUCGAUACUGCCAGCCUAGACUGAGGACUGCGGUUUAUACCUAGGAUGUUGGCAUAAUGAUCUUAAGUCGCCCGUCUG
rnacentral:rRNA from 1 species